UACGUAGGGGGCAAGCGGUUGUCCGGAUUUAUUGGGCGUAAAGAGCGUGUAGGCGGCCAGGUAGGUCCGCUGUGAAAACUCGAGGCUCAACCUCGAGAUGUCGGCGGAAACCAUCUGGCUAGAGUCCGGAAGAGGAGAGUGGAAUUCCUGGUGUAGCGGUGAAAUGCGCAGAUAUACAGGAAGAACACCCGUGGCGAAGGCGGCUCUCUGGGACGGUACUGACGCUAAGGCGCGAAACGUGGGGAGCGAACAGG
rnacentral:rRNA from 1 species